rnacentral:rRNA from 1 species
UACAGAGGUCUCAAGCGUUGUUCGGAUUCAUUGGGCGUAAAGGGUGUGUAGGUGGCGCGCUAAGUCGGGUGUGAAAUUUCGGAGCUUAACUCCGAAACUGCAUUCGAUACUGGCGUGCUUGAGGACUGGGAGAGGAGACUGGAAUUCAUGGUGUAGCAGUGAAAUGCGUAGAGAUCAUGAGGAAGACCAGUGGCGAAAGGCGGGUCUCUGGACAGUUCCUAACCUGAGACACGAAGGCCAGGGGAGCAAAACGGG